rnacentral:rRNA from 1 species
GACGAACGCUGGCGGCGUGCCUAAUACAUGCAAGUAGAACGCUGAAGGAGGAGCUUGCUUCUCUGGAUGAGUUGCGAACGGGUGAGUAACGCGUAGGUAACCUGCCUGGUAGCGGGGGAUAACUAUUGGAAACGAUAGCUAAUACCGCAUAAGAGUAGAUGUUGCAUGACAUUUGCUUAAAAGAUGCAAUUGCAUCACUACCAGAUGGACCUGCGUUGUAUUAGCUAGUUGGUGGGGUAACGGCUCACCAAGGCGACGAUACAUAGCCGACCUGAGAGGGUGAUCGGCCACACUGGGACUGAGACACGGCCCAGACUCCUACGGGAGGCAGCAGUAGGGAAUCUUCGGCAAUGGACGGAAGUCCGAACGAGCAACGCCGCGUGAGUGAAGAAGGUUUUCGGAUCGUAAAGCUCUGUUGUAAGAGAAGAACGAGUGUGAGAGUGGAAAGUUCACACUGUGACGGUAUCUUACCAGAAAGGGACGGCUAACUACGUG